rnacentral:rRNA from 1 species
UAAUCCCUAAAAGCCGUCUCAGUUCGGAUUGCACUCUGCAACUCGAGUGCAUGAAGUUGGAAUCGCUAGUAAUCGCGGAUCAGCAUGCCGCGGUGAAUACGUUCCCGGGCCUUGUACACACCGCCCGUCAAGCCAUGGAAGCUGGGGGUGCCUGAAGUCGGUAACCGCAAGGAGCUGCCUAGGGUAAAACUAGUGACUGGGGCUAAGUCGUAACAAGGUAGCCGUACCGG